ACAGUGCGGUUUGGCUGGGUAUGUUGUCUUUGAUUUUACUCCAUGGAAUAACGUCAGUUAUCCAUGAACGCGUUUACUUGACUAGCCCUAUAAAACUAGUUAUUCAUCAGAUCACAGUGCAUCACAUCAAACGUCUCCACAAGCCAUGUAUGGCCUCUUAAGCUGAAGGAUCCUUGCAUAAAUGCGCUUUAUCUGGUUCUGAUUAAAUUUGAAUGGUCUUUUGGACAAGGCGGUGGUGCAUUCGUUUUUCGGAACUCAUAUACAAUGAGUUUUUCAGAGAUUUAUGCUUCAGGGAAUGAGAUUUCUGAUCAAACUCUGACUUCUUUACGUUUGUGUGCACGCGCCUGCGCGAACCAGAGGGCGCUUUUUCCUAAUGAAUUUCUAGUGCAAGUUGCUUUCUGGGUAAGGGCUGACAGUUUUUUUAUAUGCUUCUAAGCCAGAAUUGGUCCCAUCAAGCCAGGCAAACUUUAAAAUUUCCAUCAUACCUCACGCAUAAACAUUCGGUGUGGACUUUCACAAUAACAAGCACUCCAAAAAUGGGUUCCGCACAGACACACGUCGAAGUUCAUAAAAUCUGGCCUCUGGGAUAACAGAAUGGCUAUCACGUUUACGUCAGAGGCGACAGGGUGACGGAUAGAAGGCGACGACUUGAAUGUCAGACCCUAUAAUCGUGGGAUGACAAUUAGAUUUAUGAGUCCAUCCAAGGCAGCACGGAUAAACCAUAUGGGAAAUUCCUACUACUCUCGGUGUCUUUAUUAACUUUCAUUACAAUGUUGAAUGAAACGUAUUUUUUUCUCACCAAAAUAAACU